UGUUGUAGUGGUGACGUUGUCGAAAAUGUUAGGUGAGAGAAGAACAUAUCAUGUAUUCAUUUUCUAGCCAUCUAUAAAUUGUUUUUUUUAAAUAAAAACAUUAACAACAUUACAUGUAAAACUUGACCCCAAAAAUAAAUAAAUAAUUACAUGUAAAACAAUUGAGUGAUGGGGGCCAUUGCAUUAUUCCCCUUUGGAUUUAUGCAUGCAGGAGGAGCUAGUAGGCUUCGCAUUUAUGGGUAGAAUGGACAUUAUUGGACAACCUUAGGUAUGCAUAUAUAGGAAAACGUCCAAAAUCCAUAAAGUUGGGACGUACGUGGUGGUGCAUGCAUGUUGGUAUUUGAUAUUGAUAUUUUAUUCCCACCCAAAAUAUUACAAACGAAUGCAGUCAAAAAAUAACUCAAAACCAGUGCACACUCGCGUCACGUGCUUCUGCAGACACAAACUAGUAAGCAAUUCACAGAGGACAUAGCCACAGAGGGGGAGCAGAUCGAUGCAAAUUAUUAAGUUUUUCUUUAAGCCAAAAAACUCAGCACCGACAUGACUUAAUAAUUAAGAUUACCACAGUAUAUCGAUCUGAUACACUAUCAGAUAAACAAAAAACAAAACAACAAAUUACAGAAAUUGAUCCCUCAAGAAGUAGAUUUCACUUCCAAGCUUUCACAUGCUAUUAAUUAUUAGCUGACACAUAUUAUGCUAAUCAAUUAAACCACAGUGACCACUAAUUGGGAUAUUUAGAACUGUGCUGUGGUGAUGAUCAACUUCAACUAUGCAGGGCACUGGAAUCCAGAGGGUGGAGUUUUCCCACAGUCAAUCAGAACCUGAAGAGCGAUGGGGAUGAUGAUGUUGAUGUUGAGAAGCUUAGCCUUGAUGGUGGUGCAAAGGCAAAUUGCAGCAUCCAAGUCCACCAGCCCUUGAAGCACUGGACAGCAUGCAUCCUUGGCACUGCUGCCAAUUCCAAUGUGAAUGAGGCCACCCAACACAUCCACACAAGCUCCCAACUUGAGAGUGUCGAUGGGACACGUGUUCUUUGGUGGUGAUGGGGUUGGCACUGGUGUUGGUGGUGGUGGAGGAGGACAUGGUGUCUCAGUGGGUGGAGGAGGCUUAACUGGUACAACUGGGGUAGGUGUAGGUGUUGGUGGGCUUGGUGGUACAACAGGUGGUGAUGGUGGUGGCUUAACUGGUACAACUGGGGUAGGUGUUGGUGUUGGUGGGCUUGGUGGUACAACAGGUGGUGAUGGUGGUGGCUUAACUGGUACAACUGGGGGCUUGGGUACAUAGGGUGGUGGGGGUUGUACAACUGGGGGCUUGGGUACAUAUGGUGGUGGUGGUUGUACAACUGGGGGUUUGGGGAUGAAGGGUGGGUGCACAAUUGGGGGUUUAGGGAUAAAAGGUGGGUGCACGAUUGGGGGCUUGGGGAUGAAGGGUGGGUGCACAAUUGGGGGCUUGGGGAUGAAGGGUGGGUGCACAAUUGGGGGUUUAGGGAUGAAGGGUGGGUGCACAAUUGGGGGUUUAGGGAUGAAGGGUGGGUGCACAAUUGGGGGUUUAGGGAUGAAGGGUGGGUGCACAAUUGGGGGCUUGGGGAUGAAGGGUGGGUGCACAAUUGGGGGCUUGGGGUGGGGUGGUGGUUUGACAAUAGGAGGCUUGGGGAUGAAGGGAGGUCUCACAAUAGGUGGUUUGGGGACAGAAGGAGGUUUUGGUAUAUGGGGAGGAUAUACAAUGGGGGGUUUGGGGCCAUGAGGUGGCUUGGGUACAUGGGGUGGAUGAGGAUGAGGUGGCUUUGAUGGUGGCUUGGGAACAUAGGGAGGCUUUACAUGAGGGGGAUGGGGUGGUUUUGAUGGUGGUUUGGGAACAUAGGGAGGCUUUACAUGAGGAGGAAGAGGUGGUUUUGAUGGUGGUUUGGGAACAGAGGGAGGCUUUACAUGAGGGGGAUGAGGUGGGUGUUUAGGUGGUUUAGGGAUGAAGGGUGGCUUUACAUGAGGAGGCUGUUUGGGUGGCAAGUGUGGAGGGUAUGUUGGUGGUGGACAGUAGGAGUUAGCAAGAGAAGUGAGCAAACUACCCAAAUUCACAAUGAGGACUAAGAGCAAAGCCAGG
rnacentral:lncRNA from 1 species